ensembl:snoRNA
CUCCAAAGUGUUGAGUUCAGUUCAGGGCAGCUUCCCUGUUCUGUUAAUUUAACUUUGGGACAUUGAAGUUGGCUGAGGGGACUGACUGAAUAGAGUGUAUUAAUCUAUUCAUAGACCUCCAGUCUACACAA